rnacentral:lncRNA from 1 species
GGGUCACUUCUGCUUGGGGGGGGGCCUGGGGACAGAGGGGACAGGGUCAGCCCCCCUCACCUCCCAGUCUCCCAGUCCUCCCAGUCCCUCCCAGUCCUCCCAGUCUUCUCCCAGUAACUCCCAGUCCCCUCCCAGUAACUCCCAGUCGACUCCAGUCCCCUCCCAGUUGCUCCCAGUCCCCUCCCAGUCCCUCCCAGUUGCUCCCAGUCGACUCCAGUCCCCUCCCAGUUGCUCCCAGCCCCCUCUCAAUCCUUCCCAGUUGCACCUAGCCACUCCCAGUUGCUCCCAAGUCCCCUCUCAAUCCUUCCCAGUUGCUCCCAGUCCCCUCUCAAUCCUUCCCAGUUGCUCCCAGUCCCCUCCCAAUCCUUCCCAGUCCCCUCCCAGCCUGCUCUCAAUCUCUCCCAGUUGCUCCCAGUCCCCCCCAAUCCCCUCCCAAUCCCCUCCGAAUCCUUCCCAGUUGCUCCCAGUCCACUCCCAGUUGCUCCCAGUCCCCCCCAAUCCCCUCCCAGUCCCCUCUCAAUCCUUCCCAGUCACUCCCAGCCCCCUCUCAAUCCUUCCCAGUUGCUCCUAGCCACUCCCAGUUGCUCCCAGUCCCCUCUCAAUCCUUCCCAGCUGCUCCCAGUCCACUCCCAGUUGUUCCCAGUCCCCCCCAAUCCCCUCCCAGUCCCCUCUCAAUCCUUCCCAGUUGCUCCCAGUCCCCUCUUAAUCCUUCCCAGUCGCUCCCAGUCCACUCCCAGUUGCUCCCAGUCCCCCCCAAUCCCCUCCCAGUCCCCUCUUAAUCCUUCCCAGUCACUCCCAGUCCACUCCCAGUUGCUCCCAGUCCCCCCAAUCCCCUUCCAAUCCCCUCCGAAUCCUUCCCAGUUGCUCCCAGUCCCCCCCAAUCCCCUCCCAGUCCCUCCCAGUGCCUCCCAGUCCCACCUGUAGACGCCCACCACCACGGCGUGGUCGCGCUCGUAGGGCUCGAGCGUGAGCUGCUCCUGGGGCCGCAGCUUCUCCUGCUGCAGCUUCUUCACCUCCGAGGCGAACACGGCCUCGGGCGCCGCCGUCGAGUCGAUGCA